UGCCGGACCCGACUGCUAUCGGAUUGAGAUUUAGCCACGCGAGUCGAACGUCCCCCUGUUGCGGGGGGCGUGGCGUACGGCUCAGUAACACGUAGUCAACCUGCCCUGGAGACACGGACAACCCCGGGAAACUGGGACUAAUCCGUGAUAGGUCACCUCAUCUGGAAGGAGAGAUGGCCCAAAGGGGCGCGCGGGCUUCUUCUGCGCGUUCGCUCCAGGAUGGGACUGCGACCGAUCAGGCUGUUGGCGGGGUAAAGGCCCACCAAACCUGUAACCGGUACGGGCCUUGAGAGAGGUGGCCCGGAGAUGGACACUGAGAAAAGGGUCCAGGUCCUACGGGGCGCAGCAGGCGCGAAACCUUCGCAAUGCGCGAAAGCGCGACGAGGUUAAUCCGAGUGAUUUCCGCUGAGGAGACCUUUUGUCGGCUGUAAAUAGGCCGGCGAAUAAGGGGAGGGCAAGCCUGGUGUCAGCCGCA
rnacentral:rRNA from 1 species